UGGCCGGAACACAUUUACUGUCAGUGUAUCAUAGUUCUUUUAUUUGUAAAACCUCCCUUAUUUACUCAAGCAGACGACGAGAACUAUUUAACUACCUGCUAGUGAGGGUUAUUUUUUAAUGAAUCAGGAGCUCUGUUGGAUGCAAAGACAAACAUCUCGCUUUAAUAGCAACGCGUCUUAACUAGAAGAAUGAAGAGGGGAACUAAUUUUUGUAUUGUUCUGAUAACACUUUUUUUAACCACACUUGUGGUCCUUCGGCCCUGCCAGGGAAUAGCGGCCGGUGGAAAUAACUGGAGCAGAAGAUCAAAACCUGAGGCUAAGCGAGCAUUGGAAAGUAUGUGCAGAGUAGCGAGAGAGCAUUGCAAGCGAGAGAUUCUUUCUGACGACUUCGACCUGCCCCGCCUCCGCGCAGGUCAAUAAUCUUCAAAGCUACAGUCAUUCAAGAAGAAGAGAAAGAUUCUCUAAGAUAGAAAAAGAAGACCUCUUUCGUUAUGGGAAGCAAAGUAACCCAAACUUGAAUAUAGAGAUAUAUUCUUAACAGCAUUAACUUGUAUUUAACCGACCCAAUUAACUAUGAAAUAAACUGCAAUGUUUGAUUCAGUCA